rnacentral:rRNA from 1 species
GAUGAACGCUGGCGGCGUGCCUAAUACAUGCAAGUCGAGCGAACAGAUGAGGAGCUUGCUCCUCUGACGUUAGCGGCGGACGGGUGAGUAACACGUGGAUAACCUACCUAUAAGACUGGGAUAACUUCGGGAAACCGGAGCUAAUACCGGAUAAUAUAUUGAACCGCAUGGUUCAAUAGUGAAAGACGGUUUUGCUGUCACUUAUAGAUGGAUCCGCGCCGCAUUAGCUAGUUGGUAAGGUAACGGCUUACCAAGGCAACGAUGCGUAGCCGACCUGAGAGGGUGAUCGGCCACACUGGAACUGAGACACGGUCCAGACUCCUAAGGGAGGCAGCAGUAGGGAAUCUUCCGCAAUGGGCGAAAGUCUGACGGAGCAACGCCGCGUGAGUGAUGAAGGUCUUCGGAUCGUAAAACUCUGUUAUUAGGGAAGAACAAAUGUGUAAGUAACUAUGCACGUCUUGACGGUACCUAAUCAGAAAGCCACGGCUAACUACGUG